rnacentral:lncRNA from 1 species
AGAACCUAGGUAGUACGUAGCUAGGACCAUUUAUAUAUACAUAACUUUACUUUGUAGAAAUUUGGACUUUUAUAUGGUAUAUUUUAUGGUGGGAAACAUUGUAACACCGUAACCCCACGGAACACCUGUGUAUUAUGCUUUGAAAUCUAGUCAUUCAUUGUAUAAAAGUUAACCCUCUCGUAAUUACUUGAUAGUAUGCUACCUUGGUUGAAUUCCAUCUAACAUUCAUAUUUGCCCCAUUAAUAUUUUUUCUCAUUUGUAUCACACACCUUCACCUUCAC